rnacentral:snRNA from 1 species
GUGCUUGCUCCAGCAGCAUGUGUAGUAAAUUUGGGUCCAUCCCAGAGAUUCACGUGGUCCCUGCACAGUGAUGACUCACAAUAAGUGAAGCAUUGCAUAUUUUU